rnacentral:rRNA from 1 species
UACGUAGGAGGCGAGCGUUGUCCGGAGUUACUGGGCGUAAAGUGCACGCAGGCGGUCUGUUAAGUUCACGGUGACAGUCAUCAGCUUAACUGGUGAAGUGUCUUGAAAACUGACGGACUUGAGGGCCAGAGAGGGACCUGGAAUUCCGGGUGGAGCAGUGAAAUGCGUAGAUAUCCGGAGGAACACCAAUGGCGAAGGCAAGGUCCUGGCUGGCACCUGACGCUCAGGUGCGAAAGCUAGGGGAGCGAACGGG